rnacentral:rRNA from 1 species
GUGUCAGCAGCCGCGGUAAGACGAACCGUCCUAACGUUGUUCGGAAUCACUGGGCUUAAAGGGCGCGUAGGCGGGCUGCCAAGUCCGGGGUGAAAUCUUUCGGCUUAACCGGAAAAUAGCCUUGGAUACUGGUGGUCUCGAGGGAGGCAGGGGCCGUUGGAACUUCCGGUGGAGCGGUGAAAUGCGUUGAUAUCGGAAGGAACGCCGGUGGCGAAAGCGAACGGCUGGACCUCUUCUGACGCUGAGGCGCGAAAGCCAGGGGAGCAAACGGGAUUAGAAACCCUCGUAGUCC